rnacentral:rRNA from 1 species
GUCUAGUGAUGAUCGCGAAGAGGUCACACCCGUUCCCAUGCCGAACACGGAAGUUAAGCUCUUCAGCGCCAAUGGUAGUUGGGGGUUUCCCCCUGUGAGAGUAGGACGUCGCUAGGCA